UGAAAAGGAAAUAAGGGUUUGAUGAUGGC
rnacentral:piRNA from 1 species